rnacentral:rRNA from 1 species
UACGAAGGGUGCUAGCGUUGUUCGGAAUCACUGGGCGUAAAGCGUGCGUAGGCGGCCAUGCAAGUCAGGGGUGAAAUCCCGGGGCUUAACCCCGGAAUUGGCUUUGAAACUGCAUGGCUCGUGUGUCGGAGGGGAGUGGGGAAUUUCUAAUGUAGCGGUGAAAUGCGUAGAUAUUAGAAGGAACACCGGUGGCGAAGGCGCCACUCUGGACGCCAACUGACGCUGAGGCACGAAAGCGUGGUGAUCAAACAGG